GCCGACGUAGCUCAGCUGGUAGAGCAGGGGUUUUGUAAACCUCAGGUCGUGGGUUCAAGUCCCUCCGCCAGCU
rnacentral:tRNA from 1 species